rnacentral:rRNA from 1 species
AUUGAACGCUGGCGGCAGGCCUAACACAUGCAAGUCGAGCGAGCGGCGGACGGGUGAGUAAUGUAUGGGGACUGCCCGAUAGAGGGGGAUAACUACUGGAAACGGUGGCUAAUACCGCAUACUAUCGGAUAACCCAUAUGGGAUUAGCUAGUAGGUGGGGUAAAGGCGCACCUAGGCGAAGAUUUCUAGCUGGUCUGAGAGGAUGAUCAGCCAACCUUGGACUGAAACACGGCCCAGACUCCUACGGAGUCAGCAGUGGGGAAUUUUGCACAAUGGGACCAAGCCUGAUGCAUCCAUGCCGGGUGGAUUAAGAAGGCCUUAGGGUUGUAAAGUACUUUCAGCGGGGAGGCGUUACCCGCAGAAGAAGCACCGGCUAACUCCGUGCCAGCAGCCGCGGUAAUAC